GUGAACGGGUCAAGAAUGUAUAUCGGGAUCUGUCUCAAUAACGCUCCACACGUAGUAAAUUCAACCUGUUUGGCAGCCAUAUUUGCUUAUUCCGGAACACGCUUGUAUAAGCAGCGCUAAUCGACUAACGUUACAUAGAAACUGGAAAUGACGUAGAUCGGCUAUUUCGGGCGAACAAGUUAUCAUCAUAGUGGAAAUUCGUCCUGCGUGAAUACAUUGGAUAAGUCAUCCUGGCGUAAACCUAGAAAACGACGCACUGUUUUACACUAUGCUGAGUUUGCUAUGCUGUUGUAAAAAAUCGUUUUGAUACCAGGAGUUAUGUCCAAAUUCGAAUGCCCCACCCUUAUAUACGCAAUCGGAAAGCGUCCUGGUGAAAAUAAAGCAACAACGCAAGGAGACGAUGGUAGACGCGUGUUGGAUCACCGACGCGGAAGGUACGCGUAACCCUGCGUUCAGCUCAACAAUUUUCACGACAAAAGAUCACCAACCUUCCUUUGCUUGCGUGUGGCAGGCAGGUACAUGCAAUGCUUCACCGACGACGUCGGAGGCGUAAAGCAGUGCUAUUUAUGAAUAUGGAUAGUCUAGAAGAUUCAGCAACGAUGCGCUACAAAGCCGGGCCUCCCUAAAUCUAGGGCACAUUACGAUCGACUUAGAGGCUGAGAGAAGACUCGAGCCGUCGUGUCCUUUGAUUAGGUGUGUUAAAGCGCGGGUCUGACCCUCGACAUAGCCGCAAAAAAUUUCUCAGAAAUCUUUUUCAUGAAAAAGUAUCUAUCCACAGAGCGAUAUUGACGGCCAUGAUUUGAAAUAUCAUACUGUUAAAGGGCUACUUUAGAAGAAAGGAUGUCUCCUAUAAGGGACAAAGCUAUUAUACAUCAACAAUACCACACACAAAACUUGUUCAGCUACAGACCUAAGCGUGCACCUCUCACGGCUUCUUGUAGUAGUGAAAUAAAAAAAAAAACUCG